AAACUUUCUUACACCGAAUGCUUGCAUUCACCGUAAGAAGUUGAGUGGCGGACGGGUGAGUAACACGUGGGUAACCUGCCUAAAAGAAGGGGAUAACACUUGGAAACAGGUGCUAAUACCGUAUAUCUCUAAGGAUCGCAUGAUCCUUAGAUGAAAGAUGGUUCUGCUAUCGCUUUUAGAUGGACCCGCGGCGUAUUAACUAGUUGGUGGGGUAACGGCCUACCAAGGUGAUGAUACGUAGCCGAACUGAGAGGUUGAUCGGCCACAUUGGGACUGAGACACGGCCCAAACUCCUACGGGAGGCAGCAGUAGGGAAUCUUCCACAAUGGACGCAAGUCUGAUGGAGCAACGCCGCGUGAGUGAAGAAGGUCUUCGGAUCGUAAAACUCUGUUGUUAGAGAAGAACACGAGUGAGAGUAACUGUUCAUUCGAUGACGGUAUCUAACCAGCAAGUCACGGCUAACUACGUGCCAGCAGCCGCGGUAAUACGUAGGUGGCAAGCGUUGUCCGGAUUUAUUGGGCGUAAAGGGAACGCAGGCGGUCUUUUAAGUCUGAUGUGAAAGCCUUCGGCUUAACCGGAGUAGUGCAUUGGAAACUGGAAGACUUGAGUGCAGAAGAGGAGAGUGGAACUCCAUGUGUAGCGGUGAAAUGCGUAGAUAUAUGGAAGAACACCAGUGGCGAAAGCGGCUCUCUGGUCUGUAACUGACGCUGAGGUUCGAAAGCGUGGGUAGCAAACAGGAUUAGAUACCCUGGUAGUCCACGCCGUAAACGAUGAAUGCUAGGUGUUGGAGGGUUUCCGCCCUUCAGUGCCGCAGCUAACGCAAUAAGCAUUCCGCCUGGGGAGUACGACCGCAAGGUUGAAACUCAAAGGAAUUGACGGGGGCCCGCACAAGCGGUGGAGCAUGUGGUUUAAUUCGAAGCAACGCGAAGAACCUUACCAGGUCUUGACAUCCUUUGACCACCUAAGAGAUUAGGUUUUCCCUUCGGGGACAAGUGACAG
rnacentral:rRNA from 1 species